rnacentral:rRNA from 1 species
UACGAGAGGUGCAAGCGUUAUUCGGAAUUAUUGGGCGUAAAGGGCGCGUAGGCGGCUUUAUAAGUUUUUUGUUUAAUAUCCCGGCCUAACUGGGAACAUGCAAAAAAGACUGUAGGGCUAGAGUAUAAUAGAGAGAAGUGGAAUUCUCGGAGUAGCGGUUAAAUGCGUAGAUCUCGAGAGGAACGCCAAUGGCGAAGGCAGCUUCUUAGAUUAUUACUGACGCUGAGGCGCGAAGGCGUGGGGAGCAAACAGG